rnacentral:rRNA from 1 species
ACGGUGAUAUUUAUAUCAUAGUGGCGCACGGGUGCGUAACACGUAUGCAACCUACCUAUUAUUGGGGGAUAGCCUUUGGAAACGGAGAUUAAUACCGCAUAAUACGAUUAACUGGCAUCGGUUGAUUGUUAAAGCAUUUGCGAUAAUAGAUGGGCAUGCGUCCAAUUAGUUAGUUGGUGUGGUAAUGGCUCACCAAGACGAUGAUUGGUAGGGGAUCUGAGAGGAUAAUCCCCCACACUGGCACUGAGAUACGGGCCAGACUCCUACGGGAGGCAGCAGUAGGGAAUAUUGGGCAAUGGGCGAAAGCCUGACCCAGCCAUGCCGCGUGCAGGAAGACGGCGUUAUGCGUUGUAAACUGCUUUUUUAUAGGAAGAAGGAUCCCUUGCGAGGGAAGGUGACGGUACUAUAAGAAUAAGCACCGGCUAACUCCGUGCCAGCAGCCGCGGUAAUACGGAGGGUGCAAGCGUUGUCCGGAUUUAUUGGGUUUAAAGGGUGCGUAGGCGGUUUAUUAAGUCAGUGGUGAAAGACGGUCGCUCAACGAUUGCAGUGCCAUUGAUACUGGUAGACUUGAGUGAGAUUGAGGUAGCUGGAAUGGAUAGUGUAGCGGUGAAAUGCAUAGAUAUUAUCCAGAACACCGAUUGCGAAGGCAGGUUACUAAGUCUUAACUGACGCUGAG